UCCACCAUGGCCUGGUCCCCUCUCCUCCUCAGCCUCCUUGCUCACUGCACAGGGUCCUGGGCCCAGUCUGUGCUGACUCAGCCGCCCUCAGCGUCUGGGGCCCUGGGCCAGAGGGUCACCAUCUCCUGCACCGGCAGCAGCUCCAACAUCGGGGGUGGCAAUUAUGUGAACUGGUACCAGCAGCUCUCAGGAAAGGCCCCCAAACUCCUCAUCUAUGGUAACAGCAAUCGGGCCUUGGGGAUCCCUGAUCGCUUCUCUGGCUCCAAGUCUGGCAGCUCGGCCUCCCUGACCAUCACUGGGCUCCAGCCUGAGGACGAGGCUGAUUAUUACUGUCAGUCCUAUGACAGCAACCUUGGUGCUCGCACAGUGCUCCAGGCCAGCAGGGAA